CUCUGCCUCCAGUCUGGUGGUCGCCUCCCCACCUGACCCUUCUGCCAUCUCCAUGUUCACCACAGGCCUGGAAACCUUUCCUUGAAGCUCCCAGCCAAUUUCCUGUGAAUAAGGGUUAACAUCAGGCCUGAGUUGCCAAAGACAUUUAGGCCUACCUGGGAAAGUGACCUUGGAUCUGCCUUCUCACAGCACUGUUUCCUUGUCAAUCACCAUGUUAAGCUGGAGAGGAAGGCUUUUUGCUGGAAGCUAUCUGCCUUGUUUGCUGUGAAAUCUCCAAUCUGUGGAACUGCACCUGCAUGUGGAGAGCAGUAAAGUGGCACCCAGAUAGACAACUGGCAAAACUAGAAGCCCUGGAAGGGGAAGAAAUGGGGAUGCAAUGGGAGCUACUCACCAUCUGAAGUGUAAGAACUCCAUGGAGAAAGACCAGCAGACUCACAC
rnacentral:lncRNA from 1 species